GACGAACGCUGGCGGCGUGCUUAACACAUGCAAGUCGAACGGAAAGGCCCUGCUUUUGUGGGGUGCUCGAGUGGCGAACGGGUGAGUAACACGUGAGUAACCUGCCCUUGACUUUGGGAUAACUUCAGGAAACUGGGGCUAAUACCGGAUAGGAGCUCCUGCUGCAUGGUGGGGGUUGGAAAGUUUCGGCGGUUGGGGAUGGACUCGCGGCUUAUCAGCUUGUUGGUGGGGUAGUGGCUUACCAAGGCCUUGACGGGUAGCCGGCCUGAGAGGGUGACCGGCCACAUUGGGACUGAGAUACGGCCCAGACUCCUACGGGAGGCAGCAGUGGGGAAUAUUGCACAAUGGGCGGAAGCCUGAUGCAGCAACGCCGCGUGCGGGAUGACGGCCUUCGGGUUGUAAACCGCUUUCGCCUGUGACGAAGCGUGAGUGACGAUAAUGGGUAAAGAAGCACCGGCUAGCUACGUG
rnacentral:rRNA from 1 species